rnacentral:rRNA from 1 species
GACGAACGCUGGCGGCGUGCUUAACACAUGCAAGUCGAACGGAAAGGCCCUGCUUUUGUGGGGUGCUCGAGUGGCGAACGGGUGAGUAACACGUGGGUAACCUGCCCUUGACUUUGGGAUAACUUCAGGAAACUGGGGCUAAUACCGGAUAGGAGCUCCUGCUGCAUGGUGGGGGUUGGAAAGUUUCGGCGGUUGGGGAUGGACUCGCGGCUUAUCAGCUUGUUGGUGGGGUAGUGGCUUACCAAGGCUGUGACGGAUAGCCGGCCUGAGAGGGUGACCGGCCACAUUGGGACUGAGAGACGGCCCAGAGUCGUAUGGGAGGCAGCAGUGGGGAAUAUUGCACAGUGGGCGGAAGCCGGAUGCAGAAACGCCGCGUGUGGGAUGACGGCCUUCGGGUUGUAAAACGCUUUAGCCUGUGACGAAGCGGGAGUGACGGUAAUGGGUAAAGAAGCACCGGCUAACUACGUG